rnacentral:sRNA from 1 species
GAGCAAAAGUUAUAUAUUCGGACAUUGUUUUCGAAUAAUUUGCAUGUAUCAAAGCUCUUAUAAACAAGAUAGGGUAUUCCUACAUAGCUGGUGGGACCCACGGCAAAUGGAUCGUAAAGUCUUCAAAAAAGAAUAGAUACGAUUGCAUUGCAUGUAGUAACAGAUGCGAUCAUACCAGCACUAACGCACCAGAUCCCAUCAAAACUGUGCAGUUAAGCGUGCUUGGACGAGAGUAGUACUAGGAUGGGUGACCUCCCGGAAAGUCCUCGUGUUGGAUCCCUCUUUUCUUUUUUCGGUUUUUGUCCUCUUUUUUUUGUUAAGAAUGUAUGACUCUAUUACUUUUAGACAGUGAGGCCAAACUUCGGAUGUGAUACCUUUUCGGAAAGCCCAAAAAGAGCUCUCUGAUGAAUAAGGAAGGAAAAUGGAAUUCUUCUAUUGGUUUUUUUUUCUACUCCAAAUUUUGACGUUAAUGUACUUUUUUGGGCCUUUUCGUGAUCUUUGCUAUAUACGGAGCGAAAAUUAUAUGUUCGGACAGUGUUUUCGAAUAUUUUGCAUGUAUCAAAGCUCUUAUAAACAAGAUAGGGUAUUCCUACAUAGCUGGUGGGACCCAUGGCAAAUGGAUCGUAAAGUCUUCAAAAAAGAAUAGAUACGAUUGCAUUGCAUGUAGUAGCGGAUGCGAUCAUACCAGCACUAACGCACCGGAUCCCAUCAAAACUGUGCAGUUAAGCGUGUUUGGGCGAGAGUAGUACUAGGAUGGGUGACCUCCCGGAAAGUCCUCGUGUUGGAUCCCUCUUUUCUUUUUUCGGUUUUUGUCCUCUUUUUUUUGUUAAGAAUGUAUGACUCUAUUACUUUUAGACAGUGAGGCCAAACUUCGGAUGUGAUACCUUUUCGGAAAGCCCAAAAAGAGCUCUCUGAUGAAUAAGGAAGGAAAAUGGAAUUCUUCUAUUGGUUUUUUUUUCUACUCCAAAUUUUGACGUUAAUGUACUUUUUUGGGCCUUUUCGUGAUCUUUGCUAUAUACGGAGCGAAAAUUAUAUGUUCGGACAGUGUUUUCGAAUAUUUUGCAUGUAUCAAAGCUCUUAUAAACAAGAUAGGGUAUUCCUACAUAGCUGGUGGGACCCAY